AGCUGCGGCCAAACCCAGGUGAAUACAAGACUUCCCGUCCGAUCAGUCCUAUUUAAACACCUGAGGGCCUUACCAAGUAUUGUAGUGGGAGACCAUACGAGAACAGAAGGUGCUGCAGUU
rnacentral:rRNA from 11 species